rnacentral:sRNA from 1 species
ACACAAGAAGGGAGGUGGUCCGGAGAAUGAUCGACUGUCGGACGCGUGAGGUGGCCGCCAGCUAGCCGCCCCGCUCGCAGCGCGGUGCGCGGCGGGCUAAUCCCAAGCAGCUACCCGACCCGCGGGCUCGCCGGUACGUCCGUCCGGCGCCUGGUUCCGGCCCAGCCGACCAGGAAGCAGCCCGCGGGUUGUCCAUU